AGUCUGGCCAUCGCCGCUCCCGCUGUGCCUGAUCGGAGGGUGAGCCCCAAGGGAACGGGGUCCCGGUCCUCCCAGGUCCGUGUGAGGCCCAUCCCUGCCGAGCACGGCACCGCUCUGCUGCCAAGAGCCCCAUCCUGGGCCGGGAGCGGGAAGGACGUGUGGGCUGGGCAGACCAGACCCGUAAAGGGCACAUGGAAUCACGGCAGGAGCCCGGCAGCUGCAGUGGAGCCCAGUGGGGUGGAUACUCUGCUGGGCCAGGCAGAUGAGGAACAGCCAGCCCUUUAGCAAGCCUCACCCUUGGAAAGGAAGCAAGAUGGAUGAUGCUGAAACAGGCGUGCUUUGCCCUGGGAUGCAUGAAGGCAGUUGGCUACCCAGUCUGCUGGGAACACUGACUAAACACAGGUCCUCCCAGGCUGGAAGUAUGAGUUCAAGCAAAUUAAAAACUGUCACCAGAGCUCGUUACAGCUCACGCCUGCAAAUGCAAAAAAGUUGCAUGGAGAUAACAGCGCACAGGAAGACUUGCUAGGCCAUGGACUAAGAUGCCAAGUUUCAGAGAAGAUGGUUUGCACAAGGAAAGCUCAGAACUCAAAAGCAGAGAUUGGGUGCUCUUCUAAGGACAACAGGUGGAGGGAUGAGAUUUUGGGAAAAAACCUGAACCCCCAAAACCCACUGUAGGAAAGGUUCCACCUCUGUGAAAACAAGAAGGAAGGAGGGUAAUAAAAGAAGUAUGAAGUGUAUCUAGUUUCA
rnacentral:lncRNA from 14 species